AGAGUUUGAUCCUGGCUCAGGACGAACGCUGGCGGCGUGCUUAACACAUGCAAGUCGAACGGAGAUUAUUAAUGAAGCUUGCGAUUUAAUAAUCUUAGUGGCGGACGGGUGAGUAACGCGUGGGCAACCUACCCAUAAGCGGGGGAUAACAGUUGGAAACGACUGCUAAUACCGCAUAAGCUAUUAAGGUCACAUGACCUUAAUAGUAAAGGUGGCGAUUUUACAUUGCUAUCACUUAUGGAUGGGCCCGCGUCUGAUUAGCUAGUUGGUGGGAUAGCAGCCUACCAAGGCAACGAUCAGUAGCCGGCCUGAGAGGGUGGACGGCCACACUGGGACUGAGACACGGCCCAGACUCCUACGGGAGGCAGCAGUGGGGAAUAUUGCGCAAUGGGGGAAACCCUGACGCAGCGACGCCGCGUGAGCAAGAAGGCCUUAGGGUCGUAAAGCUCUGUUGUAAGGGACGAAUGUUUAUCUGGCGAACAGUCAGAUAAAGUGACGGUACCUUACCAGCAAGCCCCGGCUAACUACGUGCCAGCAGCCGCGGUAAGACGUAGGGGGCGAGCGUUGUCCGGAAUUACUGGGCGUAAAGAGCACGUAGGCGGGUAAUUAAGUCAGAUGUGAAAGACCGGGGGCCCAACCUCGGGGUUGCAUCUGAAACUGGUCAUCUUGAGGGCAGGAGAGGAAAGUGGRAUUCCUGGUGUAGCGGUGAAAUGCGUAGAAAUCAGGAGGAAUACCAGUGGCGAAGGCGGCUUUCUGGACUGACCCUGACGCUGAGGUGCGAAACGUGGGGUAGCAAACAGGAUUAGAUACCCUGGUAGUCCACGCUGURAACGAUGGAUACUAGGUGUGGGAGGUAUCGACCCCUUCCGUGCCGGAGCUAACGCAAUAAGUUUCCGCUGGGGAGAG
rnacentral:rRNA from 1 species